rnacentral:piRNA from 1 species
AGGAUAAGUGUUUACAGAAGAGUUGGU